rnacentral:antisense_RNA from 2 species
UGUGGGAGCGGGCUUGCUCGCGAAUGCGGAGUGUCAGGUGCAGUGAUGUGACUGACACUCCGCAUUCGCGAGCAAGCCCGCUCCCACA